rnacentral:rRNA from 1 species
ACGGGGGGAGCAAGCGUUGUUCGGAUUUACUGGGCGUAAAGGGCGGGUAGGCGGCCACUGCAAGUCGGUUGUGAAAUCUCCGGGCUUAACUCGGAAAGGUCAAUCGAUACUGCAGGGCUAGAGUGCAGAAGGGGCAACUGGAAUUCUCGGUGUAGCGGUGAAAUGCGUAGAUAUCGGGAGGAACAUCUGUGGCGAAGGCGACUGCCUGGACCAGCACUGACACUGAGGCACGAAAGCGUGGGGAGCAAACAGGA